AACAUACUCCCUCCGUCCGGAAAUACUUGUCAGAGGAAUGGUUGUAUCUAGACAUAUUUUAGUUUUAGAUGCAUCCAUUUGCAUCCAUUUUUGCGACAAGUAUUUUCGGACGGAGGGAGUAUAUA
rfam:Triticum aestivum genome assembly, contig: Triticum_aestivum_CS42_TGACv1_scaffold_271610_3DS